UCCGGUUCAUCACCGGCAGUCCCCUUAGAGUCCCCAACUUUACUCGCUGGCAACUAAGGGCAAGGGUUGCGCUCGUUACGGGACUUAACCCAACAUCUCACAACACGAGCUGACGACAGCCAUGCAGCACCUGUCUCUGCGCUCCUUUCGGCACAGCUCCCUCUCAGAAGCCUUCGCAGGAUGUCAAGAGUAGGUAAGGUUCUUCGCGUUGCAUCGAAUUAAACCACAUGCUCCACCGCUUGUGCGGGCCCCCGUCAAUUCCUUUGAGUUUCAACCUUGCGGCCGUACUUCCCAGGCGGAAGACUUAUCGCGUUAGCUUCAAUACUGCUAGGUUCCCCUAGCAACAUCUAGUCCUCAUCGUUUACAGCGUGGACUAC
rnacentral:misc_RNA from 1 species